rfam:Ovis aries breed Texel chromosome 4, whole genome shotgun sequence.
UCCCAGGUGGCUCAGCUGGUAAAGAAUCCGCCUGCAAUGCGGGAGACCUGAGUUCGAUCCCUGGGUUGGGAA